rnacentral:Y_RNA from 1 species
GGUUGCUCCCAGUGCAAUGGUGUUUACAAUUGAUCACACUACUUACAUAUGUCUUUGUUGCUUCUCCACUCUCACUGCUUCACUUAACUAGCCUUAA